AAUGAGAGCAAUGAUUCUUCUCGGUCUAGCAGCUGUUGACGCGUUAUCUUGUCUGUUUCAUGACUUGUGGCGGUGGUGUACCGAGGCAUGUGUUUAUAUCCGGGGAAUAUUUGUCAUGUGAUCUCGUUUUGUAUCGAAUAUUCUCGUUAGACGGCUUCAGAAGAAACGGACAGCGGUAUGAUGGCCAGGAAAGGCUGUUCUUAGUGAUGCAGGCGAAGAGCACGAAUGGUGAUAAACUCCCACCGAAGUGACGACGAUCCAGAUCGGUCGUUCUGUGUCAUUUAAUAUGAUCAAUGGUUGGAGUAAUUCAAGAUAUUUAUUUGCUGAUCCCCAUUCACGGAGAACGCAGUUUGAAGCAGGAUACGUUGAGAUGGUAUUUCCAGUGUGGAAAUUGAAGACUGUUUAUUGUUCUGUACUCGUUUUCUUCGACAUACGUAGUUGGGUCUGGUCUGCUGUACCAGUAGUUUGGUCGUAGUUGUGUCUAGAGUGCUUGUCUGUUUGAAUGUAGUUGUUAUGGGAGCGAUUCAAGACAA